rnacentral:rRNA from 1 species
CCUACGGGUGGCAGCAGUGGGGAAUAUUGCACAAUGGGGGAAACCCUGAUGCAGCGACGCCGCGUGAGUGAAGAAGUAUUUCGGUAUGUAAAGCUCUAUCAGCAGGGAAGAAACUGACGGUAACUGAUUAAGAAGCUCCGGCUAACUACGUGCCAGCAGCCGCGGUAAUACGUAGGGGGCACGCGUUCUCCGGAUUUACUGGGUGUAAAGGGAGCGUAGACGGCAGAACAAGUCUGGAGUGAAAUGCCGGGGCUGAACCCCGGAACGGCUUUGGAAACUGUGCAGCUAGAGUGCAGGAGAGGGAAGUGGAAUUCCAAGUGUAGCGGUGAAAUGCGUAGAGAGUAGGAGGAACACCAGUGGCGAAGGCGGCUGACUGGACUGUAACUGACGUUGAGGCUCGAAAGCGUGGGGAGCAAACAGGAUUAGAUACCCCAGUAGUC